CUGGGUAGCUUAGCGGUAAAGCGCGUCCUUGGUAAGGGCGAGAGCGACGGUUCAACGCCGUUUGCUUAA
rnacentral:tRNA from 1 species